UCAGCAUUUAACUCAGAUGCUGAACGUGAAGGAUAACGUUGCGACAGCAACGGCCCGAAGGGCGAGGCGAAGUCGAGUCAUCCUGCACGACCCACCA
rnacentral:sRNA from 1 species